ACCGUCCUUAUCUUGGGGUUGAGCUACUGUUCAAUGAACGCAUAGUGGGAACAGGACUGCUAACACCUGAACAACACAAAUCUUCAAGAUAAAUCCUGAAAUC